AUACUUACCUGACGUAGGGGUACUGUGACCAUGCAGGUGGUUCCCCCGGGGUGCGGCUGCUCCAUUGCACUUAUGCAGUGCGGAGUAGUUGAUCCUUACGGUUAUUUUUAAAUUUUAUAAGUUUCACUUCUACCGUAUGUGACUUGCACACACACACAUU